rnacentral:rRNA from 1 species
GAUGAACGCUGGCGGCGUGCUUAACACAUGCAAGUCGAACGGACAGGCCCUGCUCUUGUGGCGUGCUCGAGUGGCGAACGGGGGAGUAUCACGUGAGUAAACUGCCCCUGUCUUUGGGGUAACUUUAGGAAACAGGGGCGAAUAUCGGAUAGGAGAUCCUGCUGCAUGGUGGGGGUUGGAAAGUUUCGGCGGUGUGGGAUGGACUCGCGGCUUGUCAGCUUGUUGGUGUGGUAGUGGCGUACCAAGGCUGCGACGGGUAGCCGGCCUGAGAGGGUGACCGGCCACAAUGGGACUGAGGUACGCACCAGACUCCUACGGGAGGCAGCAGGGGGGAAUAUUGCGCAAUAGGCGGAAGCCUGAGGCAGCAACGCCGCGUGCGGGAUGCCGGCCUUCGGGUUGUAAACCGCUUUCGCCUGUGACGAAGCGGGAGUGACGGUAAUGGGUAAAGAAGCACCGGCUAACUACGUG